rnacentral:ncRNA from 1 species
UGAGAAAGGCAAACCUGUCGAAAGGCAGGGACGCAAAACUUCCGGUCCCAACAAGAGGAUAGCGGGGUUGCCA